AAUGGGGGAAACCCUGAUGCAGCGACGCCGCGUGAGCGAUGAAGGUUUUCGAAUCGUAAAGCUCUGUCCUUGGAGAAGAUAAUGACGGUAUCCAAGGAGGAAGCACCGGCUAAAUACGUGCCAGCAGCCGCGGUAAUACGUAUGGUGCGAGCGUUGUCCGGAAUUAUUGGGCGUAAAGGGUACGUAGGCGGUUUAUCAAGUCAGAUGUUAAAGCGUGGGGCUCAACCCCAUAAAGCAUUUGAAACUGAUAAACUUGAGUAGUGGAGAGGAAAGUGGAAUUCCUAGUGUAGCGGUGAAAUGCGUAGAUAUUAGGAGGAAUACCAGUUGCGAAGGCGACUUUCUGGACACAAACUGACGCUGAGGUACGAAAGCGUGGGGAGCAAA
rnacentral:rRNA from 1 species